UUCCAUACCACACGAUGGGUGCCACC
rnacentral:piRNA from 1 species